UCCUACAAACAUUUAAAAAAUCUUUUGCAAUAGCUAUCUCACGUCCCUCAGGAUAGCUCUUAGAUAGGCAAGGAGUCAAGUGGGCCUCUGAAAAUUAAGUUAGGCCAGGGUCACCCUGGAUAUUGGCAGUAAAGCCAGGAUUAAAUUCAAACGCGGACAUUUUUUUUUUUCUAUUCUCUUAAGUAUAAGGUCUUUUCUUCUAGGAUGUAAAGUGAAGAGACGGUAGGUGUCGUCUCCCCUCCCCCAUCUUCCGACCCUGUCCGGGGAUCUCAUUCCCGCGCUGCAGGUGAGCAGCACGUCACCGCGCUGUACUUCUCUUGGGCAUUUACUGCACCCUUUCCCCAGAAUGCCAUUACCUUAUGCUCUGCUCCCAGCAGUCGGUGCCUCCACGGUUCCUCCUAGGCACGCUAGGGUUCACGCCAACCUUUGCUCAACUAGUCAGAACGCAGCCAUCUUUGGCUGACACGUGACUAGGGUCAGGCGGGCGCUGAUUGGGCUUCCAGGACAGAGGUUGCCUGCAGUAGUAACUUCCUGCUAAGGGGCUUCCAGCCGAGAGAAGCGGUGGGCGGGAGAGUGAGGAGUGAGGGAGGAGUUUUCGGCAAGCUCGGAGGGUACUUGUUAACAACCUCCCCCCACCUUCCAGGACCGAGCUUGUGGAACUUGUGAAAUUUUGAUAUGAGAGUGACCGUAAUUCUUCUUUCACUGAAAACCUACGUUGGACACAUUACUUCAGUUCCUGGCCAAUAGAGCCUACCUCGUGUGUUGACAUGGGAUAUAUUGGAAACUGCACAGCCCUUGGGCAUACAAUAGAUGAGGAAAUGAAGGUGCAGAGAGGUGAAACAGCUUGUUAAAAGUCAUCCUGUUGGUUUCCCUUCUGGCCAAGUAUUUAACAGCCGUAUCUUCAAUGUGCCCACAGAAUUAUUUGUAUACCUUUUAAACCUUCUCUUGCUAUGUAUUCACAUUUUAAAUCUGUCUUCUAACUGUGAGUACCUUUUGGGUUAAAGACCAUUUCUUGCCGCAUUUUACCAAGUAUCUGAGAUAUAACAGGUGAGUAAUAAAUGUCUGGUGAAUUAAUGA